GACGAACGCUGGCGGCGUGCUUAACACAUGCAAGUCGAACGGAAAGGCCCUGCUUUUGUGGGGUGCUCAAGUGGCGAACGGGUGAGUAACACGUGAGUAACCUGCCCUUGACUUUGGGAUAACUUCAGGAAACUGGGGCUAAUACCGGAUAGGAUAUCCUGCUGCAUGGUGGGGGUUGGAAAGUUUCGGCGGGUGGGGAUGGACUCGCGGCUUAUCAGCUUGUUGGUGGGGUAGUGGCUUACCAAGGCUUUGACGGGUAGCCGGCCUGACAGGGUGACCGGCCACAUUGGGCCUGAGAUACGGCCCAGACUCCUACGGGCGGCAGCAGUGGAGAAUAUUGCACAAUGGGCGCAAGCCUGAUGCAGCAACGCCGCGUGCGGGAUGCCGGCCUUCGGGUUGUCAACCGCUUUCGCCUGUGACGAAGCGCGAGUGACGGUAAUCGGUAAAGAAGCACCGGCUAACUACGUG
rnacentral:rRNA from 1 species